GUUCAUCUGCUGAUUUUGAGAAUAAAGAAAAGUGCUAUGGCAGACAUUUAAGAUUUCCGGGCCGGUAUACACCACCUUUAUUCCGCGGACAGAUGUACUUCACUCCGAGUGAUGGGGGACCGACGAGGCUACUGUUGGAUGAUGGGGAGGUAAUGGAUCGACGCAUCGAAAUAAGGGAACUUGGAGUUUUUUUAACAGAUUUGAGAGAAAGUGAUGUUGGAAUAUAUUCCGAGUCACCUGACGGGAAAAAAGACAAAUUCAUCAGACUGAAAGUUUUGGGUGAGAACAUUGUGUAAAUAGGUAUUUCUAGUAUCUAUAUGCAGUAUUUCAAUAUAUAAUAAAUUCAAAUUUCGUUUUUCUUUUUCUGUGUACUUUUCUCAGAUUGUUCCACUGAGAUCACAAACACUUCUGGGGCUAGGAUCACCUUCGAUGUUCCUACAGAGGCUCAAUAUCUGCAGUUCACUCCCCUUUACACGAAUCACACAAGGAUAGUGUGGCAUCAAGACGACCCUCUGCUUAGUGAGGGAGGCAGAGGACAGAUGACCUCUCUCGGCUGGGAGAUAAUCAACCUCACUCCAGAAGACAGCGGCUACUACGACAUGAGGCGAAAAGACUACUAUUUAGUGUCGAGGAUAAGGCUCACAGUAGAAGGACCUAUUCCCACAUAUGUUUAUGCUGCUAUCGCUGGUGGGAUUGUCUUAGCGGUGAUUGUCUGCUUUUGCUGUGUGAGGAAGUGCUGUUGUAAAAAGGACUCUUCCAAACGGGACGAGUCAGCGCCUGCUGCUGUGUAUUACCAUUCGCGGGAUCAGAACCAACCUGCUGGCCCAAACUCCUCUGCUGCACCUCCUCCAGAUUACUCUUAUCAUUCAGUGAAGCCCCCUGCUUAUGAAGAAGCUGCAGCUAACUCCGUUGGGCCAUCGGUAGGUGUUAUUAACAGUUUUUAAACUGUGAGUUGCUUCGUCAGGAGUGCACUUUCUUUCAGCACUGACACACUUGCAUUUUGUUCUUACCUUGCAGGCGCACAACCCAGUGAAUAUCCACAUGAACCCCCUCCAGCCUGAGGUACACACAUGAACAUAGAAUAACCCUAACCUGUUAAUAUACUGGAAUCAGAGUCUCUUGGUAUAAAUCAAAUCAUCUUAACAAACAACAAGAGUGUACAAAUUCUAACACAGAUUUUUGGCUCUUCUGACACACUAUCUGACACCGUUUCAUCAACAUGUUUAUUGACCUUUUUGAUUCUGUUUUUCGUUGUUCCUUUUACAGGUUUCUGCUCCGGCUCCUUCACUCGGCUCUGAUUUUCUCUCCUCGGCCCCUCCACCAGAGUUGGAACUGAAAAGACGGACCUUCCCUUCUGCUCCCCCUCUCGGACCAGAAUCAACUACCAGUGACGUUUAUACCUCUGAUAAACUCAACUUUCUGUGAUGGGCACACUGAAAAAGUCAAGUGAUGCUUUGUGACUAGCAGGAACACAGCCAUGAAUCUUCGAUUGGAUCAUUUAGAUUGUAAGAAACAAGAUGUCAAUCACACUAUGUUGAGACAUGACCAAACAUAUUACAAGUCAAUGUGUGAGAUUUCCUCUUUCACUGUAACAAACUUGAAGCCCGUGAAGUAUUACAGUUUUUAAUCCGUUAACUCUUAAUAACUCAAAAUUGGUCAAAUGCUUGUGGUUAAGAGCAAAGCAGUAGAGGGCAGGACGCAUAUCAAGAUAUAAAUCAUUUCAGGUGUAUGCCUGUAGAUAAUCGACUUAUUGUGUAGUUCAUUUUUGCUUUUUUUUCUCUUUUUGAAAAAAAAAAAAGAAGCUCACUCAGUGUAGCUCUAUACAAUUAUUCUUUAGUUUCAGGCGUGUUUCAAGAGCCAUCUGCCUUAAUCAGGAGGUCAGUAUAACAUGAGUUAACCUACGUUUACACAUUAUUAUGUGGAUGAUGUUACAAUGAUGGUCUGUGUAGCAGAGCCUUGAGAUGGGGACUCAAAAUGGAGUCAGGCUGAAUCUGACACUCAUGGAGAUUACAACACUACACCUCACUAUACAAUUAUGGCACUGAUGCCAGCAUUACUUAUAUGAUUGUUUCCAUAUCCCUGACGUUUCUUUUAUUAACAUGUCUUUGUUGCAUUUAUUGAAACGUUUUAAGAAAUUAUGUGGGAGCUACCUAAGCUUGGAAACAGUUGCAUUCUGCAUGUGUGUGUGUGUGUGUGGGUGUGUGUUGCGCACGUGUGUGUGUAAUGUUGUAAUAGUAAUACUUGAUAGAAAUAUUUGUCAGCAUAAUGUGUAAGGAGUGUUGUGGCUCCUUUCUAUCCACCUGUAAAAUUGAAAUAACUAAAAUCAAAAUAUGAAUAGCUGUCUUUCAUAGUGUUACAAUAUUGUUAGAUAAAUAAACUUAAGGUGCAAUUUCUUUAUGGUGUAAAAGUUCUUGUUCUGUGUAACUGUUUAACUUCAUGUUGGUGGUUAAAGGCCUUAAAAAAGUGUUUUCAUAAUCAGCUUCUUUCAC
rnacentral:lncRNA from 1 species